rnacentral:lncRNA from 1 species
UCCUUUUAAAAUGUAAAUCAAGCCCUUGAUCUAAUCCCAAAGUGGUGCUACUAAAUAUGAACCAUAAGAUUGACAUUGAGUACAGUGAUUGAUGCUUGCUGCUGUAUUGUUGAGGACCCAAUAUUGUAAUCUUUCAUUUAUAUUCUAGUGCAAACGUAACAGUCUUUUGAAUUGUCUACUAUUUUUUGAGUUUACUCCUGGACAUAAGUAGUGUGAUUCUACUAUUAUGUAUAAAAAAUAGUCUCAGAUGUGAAAAAUUAAAAUACUUAUUCAAGAUGACAGAUUUUAAGCAAAUGGAGGGCAUAACAGAAAACAAGAGAGAAAUAAUCAUAUGACUUUCUCUCUUUUUUUUGAGACAGAGUUUCACUCUUGUCACCUAGUCUGGAGUGCAGUGGUGCAAUCUCAGCUUGCUGCAACCUCCGCCUCUUGGGUUCAAGUGAUUCUCCUACCUCAGCCUCCCAAGUAGCUGGGACUACAGGCGCCUGCCACAAUGCCUGGCUAAUUUUUAUGCUUUUUGUAGACUUGUAAAAGUCUUAAACACAUUUGUUGCAUUUUUUUUUCAGAUAGCUCUAUUAUUUUAAUUUCAUGCAGUGUUUAUAUUUCCCAGCCUUUAAUUUUUUUUAUCUUGGCAGCCAUAUUUCUGAUGCACUAUGGAAUUUAUUUGCUUAUUUAUUAACCAAUCAAAUAAGCAGCAGAGAACUAUGAAAUUUUGGUUUUUAAGGUUGCUUUGAUGGGACAUUAUUUUUUUCUCCAUGUUCUUUGCUCGAGGAUUUUUUUUUUUUUUUUUUAGACAGAGUUUCACUCUUGUUACCCAGGCUGGAGCGCAAUGGCUCGAUCUUGGCUAACAACAACCUCCGCCUUCUGGGUUCAGGCAAUUCUCCUGCCUCAGCCUCCUGAGUAGCUGGGAUUACAGGCAUGCGCCACCAUGCCCAGCUAAUUUUUGUAUUUUUAGUAGAGACGGGGUUUCACCAUGUUGACCAGGAUGGUCUCGAUCUCUUGACCUUGUGAUCCACCUGCCUCGGCCUCCCAAAGUGCUGGGAUUACACGCUUGAGCCACCGCGCUCGGCCCGGGUUUUUUUUGUUUUUUUUUUUAAUGCUCUUUCUUCAUAUUUCUCUCCCCCAGUGCUGCACCACCCAGCCCACUAGGGACCCCAAUCCAGAACCAGGUCUUAUGUAGGUGACUUGAGCUGAUGGGCAAUACUGGGGCAAAUGCUGGUCCAGGCAUGGCAUCAGUAGGUAGGCUGGCACAAGCUCUGGGUGAAAGGCAGCUUUAACUUUCCCCCUCCUCCUGCUUAAGCAGCUCUAUAUGAGCUGUAAAUCCAGUUGUUGGUCAAAGGCUUUUUUUUCUUCCUUUCAUAAGCUGGGGAUUCCCUAUUACAGGCCUUGAUUUCAAGCAAUAGGCUGGGUUCUUGUCCCCUAUUCUUCAUAGAUUGCAGGAGCUAAGUUUAUAUCUACUUCUCC